AUCUGCAGGUGACUAUGACAAUUGCUAAAGAAGAUUGCAAACCGCACCCCCUUUUAGUUGAUGCCCUCUCUCCAUUAAUUUUUGGUCUAGAGACGCGUGCGUGGGGUCCAAUGCAAACAGCUUAUCCAUAAAGCCGAAAGUUUGUAAACGUGUAUAGGGACCAGUACUGGUCAAGCAAAUUUAAAAAAUUAUCCAGUUAACUUUGUCCGAAGAAAAGCUCUCAAAUACGCUAUAAGAAUAAAUAGCUGAAGGGCGUUAACGGUAUUAAGAGGAAGAUUGAAGAAAAAAUGACAGCAGAACAUGACGAGGAUACGUUUUCUUUGACCUGCAACGUGGUCCAGAGUAUCCCAAGGAGUGAACGAAGAUGAUGAAGAUUGCUAGUGAUCCUUGGGAGCAAAUAUAUCACGAGAAGCUUAUAAGAUCAGGUUGGAGUAUGGAUACCAGUUUAUUAUCAUCAAAGAGUUGAUUGAGAUCGGUGUGAAUAUUUGUUGGGUUAUUUUCGGCCACAUGAGCACCGUUAAACCCAGGAGGGAACCUCGCCGCCAGGGCUCCAUGAAUCACACCCUCGUUAACUUACACACUCGUCUGUAGCAUUAUAGUAUGCUAAAACGUGUGUGCACAAUUUGCAGUGGAACUGUUGUAUAUACACUGCGUAAAGGCAACCUCUUUUCAAUAGCUCCUCCUACCAACCCACGUUCAGAUGUGUACCUUUUUAUAUUCUUCAAGUUUACUCAUUUCAUGAAGUUUAAUCGUUAUUGUUAUCUUUGCAUUAUUGUGGCUUUACAAUAUAUGUAUCAUAUAAUUUUAAAUUUAAUAUUAAUGGAGGCGGAAGAGAAAAUAUACAACUGUAAUGGAAAGUAAGGCGUAUUCAAAUGUGUAUUAUAUAAAAAAGUUCUAAUGAAGAGCACGUGGUGUAUUCGCCCAAAGCAGGUUAUUAUUUUCACGAAAGGUAUUCUUCAAGAUUACAUUCGCGUCUUCAUUUAACUUGAUUUAUACAGUGUAUAUAGAAGAGAAGUAGACCCGUCCGCCCUUCAGUUUGCCGCGGGGAUCUUUCGACGCGGGCGAAUGAUGCACACAUAGCUAUACACUAUAAGAACGAAUACGAGAAGAGGGUUGGCGAGGGCGUGGUACACUGGUGAGAAAGAAGAUGAGGUAUAUGAUGCCGCGGAUUAGAUUACAGAGGAUCAAGUGCAUCUUGUUGAAGGCACUCGACUUCAUCUGGAGUUGGCUGCAAUGUUGGUAUAACAAAACACUGGCG